AUUUCCUCAGGCAGAGGUAGAAAGAAACCUUGUAGAAAUCUAGUAGUGUAUAUUUCAAGAUAUUUGAAGUUGCUCUUGUUAUUAGUGCUCUGAGAUUAUUAUAAAUGUUAUAAUGAGAUUUUUAUAAGUGUUCUGAGAUUCCUUCAGGUACUAUGCACAUGAAGAAAUGUAGUGUACUGCUUUGGAUGGCCCACCAAAAAUGUUUUUACUAGGAAACAAACCCCAGCUAAACAGAGAAGUGGGAGCUGGCUGAGAAGGAUGUCAGGUGAAAUGCAUGAAGAACAGCAAAGUUCAUUGACUGGGAGUGGGAGGAAGCCUCCAUGCAAUGUGUUGGCUGCUGGCUCCUCAGCUGGAAUAGGGGUCUCUUGGACAGUGACAUGUCUAACAGCAGUGAAGACAAAAUGUAAAAUCUAGCUCUUACAGCUACCCCUUACGCCUUACUCAGAGACAAAUAGCUAAAAGUAUAUCACCCUGCAAAGCAAUGAAGUUGGAAACAUCUUUCAAAUGAGGGCAUACACAUGAUCUGAGGAGUUCAUAAUUUUCUACAAAAAGAAUAAUUUGACUUCUUACACCAGCCUUGUAGUUGAUACUAAUUGGCAAAACUCUACCAUCAUCAAGCAAGAGUAAGUAUACUGGUAAAUCAUCAAAGGCAAGACGAGUCCAGCCUAAUAUU
rnacentral:lncRNA from 1 species